rnacentral:rRNA from 1 species
CGCAUCUGUGCAUGCAGCAUAUCAAUAAGCGGAGGAAAAGAAACUAACAAGGAUUCCCUUAGUAACGGCGAGUGAAGCGGGAAGAGCUCAAAUUUGAAAUCUUCAAGGUUUUACCUUGACGAAUUGUAGUUUAAAGAAGUGUUUUCUGUCGAAGUUUUGGUAAAAGUUCUUUGGAAUAGGACAUCAUAGAGGGUGAGAAUCCCGUAUUUGACCAUUAUUUUCAGCUGUGUGAUACACUUUCAAAGAGUCGGAUUGUUUGGGAAUGCAGUCCAAAGUGGGUGGUAAAUUUCAUCUAAAGCUAAAUAUUGGCGAGAGACCGGAUAGCGAACAAGUACCGUGAGGGAAAGAUGAAAAGAACUUUGAAAAGAGAGUUAAACAGUACGUGAAAUUGUCAAAAGGGAAGCGUUUGACACCAGUGUUGUUUUCUCGAAAAUCAAUUAAAAAGAGUUAGAUUUUGUUGUGUAUUGACCUUAACAGCUUGCAUUUCAAUUUUCUUGCUUUUUUUAAUGCACUUUUCGUUUAACAAGUCAACAUCAGUUUCUUUUGUUGUAAAAAGGUCAUUGGAAGGUGGCUUUCUUUUCGGAGAAAGUGUUUAUAGCCUUUGACUCCUGCAAUCGGAGAGACUGAGGUCUGCAGCGUAGAUCCUUCGGGGUUAGAUACAUUUGUGCUAAGUUAUAGCUUUUUAUAGACAACUUGUUGACUAUGAUUAGUCUUGUAGCUUACUCGCUUAUGCUAUUUUACCUACGCUUAGGAUGUUGACACACGCGCGUGCUCGAUCUAUACAUGACUCUGCGCAUAUCAAUAAGCGGAGGAAAAGAGGGCUACUUACCUACGCUUAGGAUGUUGACACACGCGCGUGCUCG